CCUACGGGGGGCUGCAGUGGGGAAUAUUGCGCAAUGGAGGAAACUCUGACGCAGCAACGCCGCGUGAAUGAUGAAGGCCUUAGGGUUGUAAAGUUCUGUCUUCUGGGACGAUAAUGACGGUACCAGAGGAGGAAGCCACGGCUAACUACGUGCCAGCAGCCGCGGUAAUACGUAGGUGGCAAGCGUUGUCCGGAUUUACUGGGCGUAAAGGAUGCGUAGGCGGAUAUUUAAGUCAGAUGUGAAAUACCCGGGCUCAACUUGGGUGCUGCAUUUGA
rnacentral:rRNA from 1 species